rnacentral:rRNA from 1 species
UACAGAGGUCCCGAGCGUUGUUCGGAUUCAUUGGGCGUAAAGGGUGCGUAGGCGGUUUUUUAAGUUUGAUGUGAAAUCCCGGGGCUCAACCCUGGAAUUGCAUUGAAUACUGAAGAACUAGAGUACUGGAGAGGAAACUGGAAUUUACGGUGUAGCAGUGAAAUGCGUAGAGAUCGUAAGGAAGACCAGUGGCGAAGGCGAGUUUCUGGACAGUAACUGACGCUGAGGCACGAAGGCCAGGGGAGCAAACGGG